CAGGCCCCUUAGAGCCGUCGGAGCUGCACAAGGCAGUCCAGACUCUACUAGCUGCCGCCUACUGUGAUGAAACUUAAAAUAAACUACAGCUCCCAGAAGUCCUUGCUGCGGGAGCUGUAGUUUACUUUCAGUUUCUUCUAUGUGGACAGUCGUGGGCUGCCUGUUGUGCCCUAAGAGGGGGCACAGGGAAUAAGUUACCCCAGCCUCCCUCUGCUGCCUUUGAUCCCCGCAGCAGUGCACUAUUGCACUGCUGAGCUGGAAAAUGAAUGACAGCCGGAGUUCCGAAAAGGGGGCGGAGCUACACGGCACUGUACUCAGUGCCAGGCCAGCCAGCACCAGCGGAGACAGGAGGGGAGAGAAGAGCAGCAGCACAGCCUAAAUAUGGAACUGACUGCCCAUUUGCCUGCCGUUGGAUGGAAGCAGAUCUUUGCGUCACCGUAGAGUGGAACUCGCUACCCAUUUGCCUGCCGUUCACAGACUUAAGCACGGACCCGUGUACAGAAAGGACAUCACACCUGCCGAUCUUUGCAUCUCCAUACAGUGGAACUCGCUGCCCAUUUGCCUGCCGUUGGAUGGAAGCAGAUCUUUGCGUCACCGUAGAGUAGAACUCGCUACCCAUUUGCCUGCCGUUCA